rnacentral:rRNA from 1 species
UACGUAGGGUGCAGGCGUUAAUCGGAAUUACUGGGCGUAAAGCGUGCGCAGGCGGUUUGCUAAGACAGGUGUGAAAUCCCCGGGCUUAACCUGGGAACUGCGCUUGUAACUGGCAAGCUAGAGUGUGGCAGAGGGGGGUGGAAUUCCAGGUGUAGCAGUGAAAUGCGUAGAUAUGCGGAGGAACACCGAUGGCGAAGGCAAUCCCCUGGGCCUGCACUGACGCUCAUGCACGAAAGCGUGGGGAGCAAACAGG